GGUCACUGAGGUGAUGUCAAGGUGCUGGUUAGCCUUUGCUCUGUGGGCUGGGAAGAAGGUUUCAGAGACUAAAGCCCUGCAGGCAGAUCAAGUGGUAAAUGAACAGGCAACAGAGACAUAGCAACUAGCAGGUGUUCCACAUGUGUGCAGGUGCCUGUGGCAGUCAGCACAGUUCUCUGGAGCUGGAGUUACAGGUAGUUGUGAGCCACUUGGUGUGGGCUCUGGAAACCGAACCCGGGUCCUCUGGAAGAGCAUGGUGAGCUCUUAGCCUCUGAGUCAUCUCUCCAGCCCCACAAGCAUCGAACAUUAAUUUAACCAAGCAUGGUACAUCAUAAAUUUAUCAGAAGUACAGACAGGGGAAGUCUCCAGCAGAAGGUAUGGCCCAGAUCAAAGAUGUGCACCACCACACCUGGAUCUGGGACUUGUUUUGUCCCAGGCUGACCUUGAACUCAGAGAUCUCCUUGCUUUAGUCUCCUGUGAUUAAAGGUGUGUAUGACCUUGCCUGGGUCUAAACAUUUUAUGGCCACUCUGCCUCAAGAUCUCCAUGACAAGAUCCAGGCCAGAAACUUGUGUCUUCCAGCCUCGAGAUUUGGAUCACAGGUGAGCCUUCCAAUUGUGGAUUACAGUUCAUUCCUGAUAGAGUCAGGUUGACAACCAGGAACAGCCACUACAGGCCUU
rnacentral:lncRNA from 1 species